rnacentral:rRNA from 1 species
CGCAUCUGUGCAUGCAGCAUAUCAAUAAGCGGAGGAAAAGAAACUAACAAGGAUUCCCCUAGUAACGGCGAGUGAAGCGGGAAGAGCUCAAAUUUGAAAUCUUAAAGGGUUUCCCUUUACGAAUUGUAGUUUAAAGAAGUGUUUUCUGUUGAGGUUUUGGUAAAAGUUCUUUGGAAUAGGACAUCAUAGAGGGUGAGAAUCCCGUAUUUGACCUUUACUUUCAACUUUGUGAUACACUUUCAAAGAGUCGGAUUGUUUGGGAAUGCAGUCCAAAAUGGGUGGUAAAUUUCAUCUAAAGCUAAAUAUUGGCGAGAGACCGAUAGCGAACAAGUACCGUGAGGGAAAGAUGAAAAGAACUUUGAAAAGAGAGUUAAACAGUACGUGAAAUUGUCAAAAGGGAAGCGUUUGACACCAGUGUUGUUUUUCUGAAAAUCAAUUAAAGAACUGUUUAUGCUAAGCUGUUUAGACUUUAUCAGCUAACUGUUUAGUUUUGAGCUUUUCUUUAAUGCACUUUUCAGUUAACAAGUCAACAUCAAUUUCUUUUGCUGUAAAAAAGCUUGAGGAAGGUGGCUUGAGAUUCGUCUUAAGUGUUUAUAGCCUCUUGCCUAUGCAGUCGGAGAGAUUGAGGUCUGCAGCGUAGAUCCUUCGGGGCUAAAUGCAUUUGUGCUAAGUUAUAGCAUUUCAUAGACAACUUGUUGACUAUGAUUUGUCUUGUAGCUUACUCGCUUAUGUUAUUUUACCUACGCUUAGGAUGUUGACAGCAGUAUAGACUGU